UUGACUCGUCCCCCCCAGGGUGUCUUUGAUGUGGGAAGACUAUAUCUUACAGCAGUAGUGCCAGACCUUUGAUAGAUGCUCAGUGUAUACAACAUGUGUCUUCAGGCAAAAGGAAUGGAUUCAUGACAGUUUAAUGCAAUAUUAUGGUUUAAAUUGAUGUUGUCAGGUGGAACAUCACAGCAUUCAUCAGAUCUCGAGCAGAAAAUACACAUACUGUACUGGUAAAAUGUAGGAUGUCUGCUGUGAGCGGAUUCAUUUUCCUCACAAAACUGACUUAAUACCUUUGCUCAAUAAAGCAAUCUGAGGCUACUAAUCACUAAUAAAAUGGCCACUUAGAUUUGUGACAAAAAUCAAUAAACCACCGCAUGCUCCGGUUCAACUUGAAUCGCUAACAUUAACUAUAACAUUCUCAGUUUCAGCCAACCCUGAAAAAUCAUGCUUUCCAAGCAUCAGACAUCCAGAUAAACCAAAGAAUUAUUUAUAUUGACACAAGGCAACACAAGAGUCAUUUCCCCUACUUUGAAACAAGCCCUGCAGAAAAUGAUUACAGUGUAAUAGAAAGUGAGUUCAAUCAACCAGAUUACUAGAAACCAGAGCACUGGAAAGACUAAAUGGUCCAGUAAUGGCCCAUGAACCCACAAGCGGGCCAGCCGCUCCGACAAAAUUAACUCCUCCAGUGGGGCUUUCGACACACAUCACACAGCAGAAACACUCUCCUAAAAAUCACCUAAGCUGUGUACGAUGAUGACACAAAUACUGAAGUAAUUAUUGCACAGGUCUGCCAUAAGUUAUAAAAUAUUUAUAACUGUUCUAGUUAAAAGAAAGGAAAGGCAAGGCAAAUAUUUACACUCCUCUUAUAGCUUCUCUAGCAACCUGGCAGGUCACACUGCGUACUGUCAUUUCCUUCCCUUAGUUGAUUGAAACAUAGUAUUUCUUUCUUCUCCCAGGAUGUGAACAAUGUUCUCAGGCUAAACUUAAUGCCCUCAAUAAAAUAUAACUUCAUAUUUCAGAAUGAAAUUAAAAAUUCAUGUCCAUUCCUUCAUAAGAACUGUCAAAUGUGUCGAGCUGCUCUAAUAUUAAAAUGGCUCUUGUUUCUUUCUCAUUCCCGCAGCUGUAGGGGAACUUCUCAAACGUGGCUCCCCAAAAUGCUCAUCAGUCAAGCUCAAGCUGAUAUAUUAAUGCAGACUCCUGUGGAUUUGAUUCAGCAUAACAAGUAGUUAUAGGCCUAUAUCAUAGCACUCACACAAUUUGGCAAUCAAUUCUGAGCUUUAUAUAACACAAAGAAAUAUAUUACAGGCCUACAGUCAGAUGAUACCUUGUCUCAUUCCUACUGUUUGUCUUUCUCUUACCAUACAUCUCAUUCUCAUCAAUAUCCAUGAGAGUGAAAAUUAUAGCCUUGCACUCGACGACUGUCCUGAGAGAAAUGAAUUGAUAAACAGAUAGAGCUGCUUCAUCUCUUGUUUAAAGGGUAAGUGCCACUUAGACAGGCAAUGCAAAAGCAUUAAUGCAAAAUUCUCCCUCCCACCUUCCCAUUCUCCGCAGUCGUCGUUGUCCUCUUAGAACUCAACAAGUUUCAGAAAACAAAAGAUGCCACAUAAAACUGAAGAGGAGGGAGGAAAAUAAAACAAACUCAGACCACGUGCAAGUGAAAAAAAUGACGAGAGAGUCAACGACAGACGUAUGAAGAUGGCUGAGAUUAAUAGAGCACUCUACAUCACAGGUGGUGCCAAGUCCAUUAAAGCCUCCGACAGCAAACAACUGACCAUCAACUACCUGGAUUUUGAGGAAGCAUACACUAGAUCUCCAUAAGCGAUCACACCAACACCACUGCGACGGCUUUUCAUGGGAGCGAUGAGAGUCCACUGGUCUGUUUCAGGGUUAUAGCUCUCAGCGGAAAAGAGACACACAAUCCCGGAAUUAAGAGUCUCCAGCAGAAGAGUAUGUAGUCAUGGGUGAGUGUUCUUACCCUGCCCUGCAGUGAGGUGGCGCUGGCGUCACUCCUCCGUUCAUUCAUGGGUGCUAUCAGUGUCCACUGAUUGGUG